rnacentral:rRNA from 1 species
GAGGGGCAGCGGGGGAGUAGCAAUACUCCCGCCGGCGACCGGCGCACGGGUGAGUAACACGUAUGAAACCUGCCCGUAGCAGGGGGAUAAGCGGAAGAAAUUCCGUCUAAUACCGCGUAACAACCCAUGGAGGCAUCUCCGUGGGUUUAAAGGAAGCGAUUCCGGCUACGGAUGGUCAUGCGUCGCAUUAGCUUGUUGGCGGGGUAACGGCCCACCAAGGCGACGAUGCGUAGGGGUUCUGAGAGGAAGGUCCCCCACACUGGUACUGAGACACGGACCAGACUCCUACGGGAGGCAGCAGUGAGGAAUAUUGGUCAAUGGCCGCAGGGCUGAACCAGCCAAGUCGCGUGAGGGAUGACGGUCCUAUGGAUUGUAAACCUCUUUUGUCAGGGAGCAAAGGGCGCCACGUGUGGCGUUUUGCGAGUACCUGAAGAAAAAGCAUCGGCUAACUCCGUGCCAGCAGCCGCGGUAAUACGGAGGAUGCGAGCGUUAUCCGGAUUUAUUGGGUUUAAAGGGUGCGCAGGCGGAAUGUCAAGUCAGCGGUAAAAUUUCGGGGCUCAACCCCGUCGUGCCGUUGAAACUGGCGUUCUUGAGUGAGCGAGAAGUAUGCGGAAUGCGUGGUGUAGCGGUGAAAUGCAUAGAUAUCACGCAGAACCCCGAUUGCGAAGGCAGCAUACCGGCGCCCUACUGACGCUGAGGCACGAAAGUGCGGGGAUCAAACAGGAUUAGAUACCCUGGUAGUCCGCACAGUAAACGAUGAAUGCUAGCUGUCCGGGGGGAUUGACCCCUGGGUGGCACAGCGAAAGCGUUAAGCAUUCCACCUGGGGAG